AGAGUUUGAUCCUGGCUCAGAUUGAACGCUGGCGGAAUGCUUUACACAUGCAAGUCGAACGGCAGCACGGGGGCAACCCUGGUGGCGAGUGGCGAACGGGUGAGUAAUACAUCGGAACGUGCCCAUGUCGUGGGGGAUAACGCAGCGAAAGCUACGCUAAUACCGCAUACGAUCUACGGAUGAAAGCGGGGGAUCGCAAGACCUCGCGCGAUUGGAGCGGCCGAUGGCAGAUUAGGUAGUUGGUGGGGUAAAGGCUCACCAAGCCUGCGAUCUGUAGCUGGUCUGAGAGGACGACCAGCCACACUGGGACUGAGACACGGCCCANACUCCUACGGGAGGCAGCAGUGGGGAAUUUUGGACAAUGGGCGCAAGCCUGAUCCAGCCAUUCCGCGUGCAGGAUGAAGGCCCUCGGGUUGUAAACUGCUUUUGUACGGAACGAAACGGCCUUUUCUAAUACAAGAGGCUAAUGACGGUACCGUAAGAAUAAGCACCGGCUAACUACGUGCCAGCAGCCGCGGUAAUACGAAGGGGGCUAGCGUUGUUCGGAAUUACUGGGCGUAAAGCGUGCGCAGGCGGGCUUCUCAAGUCAGGGGUGAAAGCCCANAGCUCAACUCUNGGAAUUGCCUUUUGAGACUGAGANGCUUGAGUUACGGGAGAGGUGAGUGGAA
rnacentral:rRNA from 1 species